AACUUUUGGCAAUGGAUCACUUGGUUCUGGCAUCGAUGAAGAACGCAGCGAAAUGCGAUAAGUAAUGCGAAUUGCAGAAUUCAGCGAGUCAUCGAAUCUUUGAACGCACAUUGCGCCCUGUGGUAUUCCGCAGGGCAUGCCUGUUCGAGCGUCAUUUCAACCCUCAAGCUCUGCUUGGUGUUGGGCCCCGCCCGCUCGCGGCCGGCCCUAAAGACAGUGGCGGCAGCGUCUGGCUCCAAGCGUAGUACAAUCCUCGCUCUGGUGCUAGGCGGUGGCCUGCCAGAACCCCCCUUCUAUGGUUGACCUCGGAUCAGGUAGGGAUACCCGCUGAACUUAAGCAUAUCAAUAAGCGGAGGCU
rnacentral:misc_RNA from 1 species